rnacentral:rRNA from 1 species
GAGUUUGAUCCUGGCUCAGAAUCAACGCUGGCGGCGUGCCUAACACAUGCAAGUCGAACGCGAAAGCCCCGCAAGGGGCAAGUAGAGUGGCAAACGGGUGAGUAACGCGUGGGUGACCUGCCUUCGAGUGGGGGAUAACGUUCCGAAAGGGACGCUAAUACCGCAUGACAUCCUGCCUUUGAACAGGCGGAAAUUAAAGCCGGGGAUCGCAAGACCUGGCGCUUGAAGAGGGGCCCGCGUCCGAUUAGCUAGUUGGUGAGGUAACGGCUCACCAAGGCAACGAUCGGUAGCCGGCCUGAGAGGGCGGACGGCCACACUGGGACUGAGACACGGCCCAGACUCCUACGGGAGGCAGCAGUGGGGAAUUGUUCGCAAUGGGCGCAAGCCUGACGACGCAACGCCGCGUGGAGGAUGAAGAUCUUCGGGUCGUAAACUCCUGUCGAAUGGGACGAAUGGAUCGCGUGUGAAUAUCACGUGGUCGUGACGGUACCGUUAAAGGAAGCCCCGGCUAACUCCGUGCCAGCAGCCGCGGUAAUACGGGGGGGGCUAGCGUUGUUCGGAAUUACUGGGCGUAAAGGGCUCGUAGGCGGCCAACUAAGUCAGACGUGAAAUCCCUCGGCUUAACCGGGGAACUGCGUCUGAUACUGGAUGGCUUGAGAUUGGGAGAGGGAUGCGGAAUUCCAGGUGUAGCGGUGAAAUGCGUAGAUAUCUGGAGGAACACCGGUGGCGAAGGCGGCAUCCUGGACCAAUACUGACGCUGAGGAGCGAAAGCCAGGGGAGCAAACGGGAUUAGAUACCCC